rnacentral:rRNA from 1 species
AUUGAACGCUGGCGGAAUGCUUUACACAUGCAAGUCGAACGGCUGCACGGACUUCGGUCUGGUGGCGAGUGGCGAACGGGUGAGUAAUGUAUCGGAACGUGCCCAGUCGUGGGGGAUAACGUAGUGAAAAUUACGCUAAUACCGCAUGCGAUCUAUGGAUGAAAGCGGGGGAUCGCAAGACCUCGCGCGAUUGGAGCGGCCGAUAUCAGAUUAGGUAGUUGGUGGGGUAAAGGCCCACCAAGCCAACGAUCUGUAGCUGGUCUGAGAGGACGACCAGCCACACUGGAACUGAGACACGGUCCAGACUCCUACGGGAGGCAGCAGUGGGGAAUUUUGGACAAUGGGCGAAAGCCUGAUCCAGCCAUUCCGCGUGCAGGGUGAAGGCCCUCGGGUUGUAAACUGCUUUUGUACAGAACGAAAAGGUUUCUACUAAUACUAGGAGCUCAUGACAGUACUGUAAGAAUAAGCACCGGCUAACUACGUGCCAGCCGCCGCAGUAA